rnacentral:rRNA from 1 species
UACGUAGGGGGCAAGCGUUGUUCGGAAUUACUGGGCGUAAAGGGCGCGUAGGCGGCACGGCAAGUCAGGAGUGAAAGGCCUGGGCUCAACCGAGGAACUGCUUUUGAGACUGCCGAGCUAGAGUGCAGAAGGGGCAACUGGAAUUCCCAGUGUAGCGGUGAAAUGCGUAGAUAUUGGGAAGAACACCUGAGGCGAAGGCGGGUUGCUGGGCUGACACUGACGCUGAGGCGCGAAAGCUAGGGGAGCAAACGGG